GAUGAACGCUGGCGGCGUGCCUAAUACAUGCAAGUCGAGCGAACGGACGAGAAGCUUGCUUCUCUGAUGUUAGCGGCGGACGGGUGAGUAACACGUGGAUAACCUACCUAUAAGACUGGGAUAACUUCGGGAAACCGUAGCUAAUACCGGAUAAUAUUUUGAACCGCAUGGUUCAAAAGUGAAAGACGGUCUUGCUGUCACUUAUAGAUGGAUCCGCGCUGCAUUAGCUAGUUGGUAAGGUAACGGCUUACCAAGGCAACGAUGCAUAGCCGACCUGAGAGAGUGGUCGGCCACACUGGAACUGAGACACGGUCCAGACUCCUACGGGAGGCAGCAGUAGGGCAUCUUCCGCAAAGGGCGAAAGCCUGACGGAGCAACGCCGCGUGAGUGAUGAAGGUCUUCGUAUCGUAAAACUCUGUUAUUAGGGAAGAACAUAUGUGUAAGUAACUGUGCACAUCUUGACGGUACCUAAUCAGAAAGCCACGGCUAACUACGUG
rnacentral:rRNA from 1 species